GGCGGGGCGGCGGGCCGGGCCGGGCCGGGCAAGAGGCGUAAACAAGUUGGCCCGGCUGGGUGUGGUUGGAGUGCCACACGCCUUCCGGAGGUUCCUUCUCCGCUCGCAGACCCGGGUGCCCCUUCCAGGGUCUCCGUGUGCCCGGCCGCAGAGCUGCGUUCAUGUUUCCCGAAGAGCCCGUAGGGCCCCUGUGGGCGAAGGGUCUGCUGUGGAGCCUUGGAGGAGUGGCAGCUCAUCUGCGGAAAGAGAAAAGCUGCACCAGGGCAGCCUUCUUUCCUUCGCGGAGUAUUUACAGAAGCCCACUUCUGGGCCUACGGAGACCCACGGUGGCUUCUACCCUCAGAUUGCUGGCGUUUCAGACCUGGUCGCGACGUCUAUGGAAAACCACCCUGAUCAGAGCAGGCAGCUUUAAAAGCAGAACCCCUCAGUUCAGUUCCUGCUCCGCUGCUUCCUAGCAGUGUAAACCUGGGCAAGUCUUGAAGGCCCUUGAGCCUCAGUUUCUUCCUCUGUGAAAUGGGCAUAAGAACAGGAGUGAAGUGAGGAUUCAGGGAGAAAAAGUAUGGAGAGUGUUUAGCACGGCGACCCGCGCCGAGUGAAUGCUUGAAGGAUGAUGGCCCUUAUCAGAGGCAGGGGAUAGCAGACGCUGUGACUGGUGCAAAGCAGCCUGAGAGAGGCCGCAGUUGAGCUGUGGUGUCUGAAAGGCUUUCUGAAAGAGUGAGCAUCCCGCCGGGUUUUAAAAGAAAGGUAGGUUUCAUGAAAUAGGAAUGGGAGAGGCGUUUGGGAAGAAAAGAACUAAAGUUUGGAAAGAAAAGAACUAAAAGAAGCAAGGGCCUGCCGGGCCGGGAGAGUUAUGGAAAUAACACGUUUGGUCAUGGGAACUAGUUGGGUCACGAGGCAAGGCGGCAUAUGGCUUAAGGGGCCUGCUGUGUGAGUCGCUAGCACGUUGGGUGCUGUCAGAAUUCCAAGAGGCCCAGGGGGGUCGGCUACUGUUAGUCCGUGGGUUGCCUUUGUGAGAAUUAAAAAAAAAAAGGCACUCCUUCUGGGCCCAUAGCCCACGUGAGCAGAGCCCGGGCUGUAUUUUGGCCUCUACCCACCUACCCGCACCCACACUCCUCCUGGGGACCCUUGAGCCGUGCACAUCCUGUAUAAUCAUUCUGGCUUCUGGGGGAGGUGAGCAUUGACCUGGAAAUUCCACCAGCCUAACACACCAUGGAGGCAGCUGGGGGAAGCCAAGAGGUCGUGAUUCAAACAGACGAGCGUGAAGGCAGGUUUCUGCCAUCGUGCGGACUGGGUGAGCCUUAGUUUCCUCAUCUGCAGCAUAGGGGUAAUAAUAAUGCCUACCUAAUGGGGUGGAUUCAAUGAGACGUUAAGAUGUAACCAGCAUAGAACCUAUGUCAAUAAAUGUUAGUUUUGUUAAUUUGUUAACUGCACUCACAGUCAGCAUGCAGCCACUGCCUGGAGUCAGGCCACCCAGUGCUGACUUCCGUGUAGUUACCCAACAUAGUCGGCUCGGGGCCCAGAGAUGGAAAGUUUGGGGGAGAAGGGGUGGGGUGGUCUGGGUUCAGGAACAGAUUACUGCCUUUGCGUUAGCACCAUGGCAGGAACUCAGGGACAUUCUGAGACCACCAGUGAGUGGGAGAGUUAGGUUAAGGGAUGGAGUCGGGGGAUGGGCACUGCUCCAGAGCUCCAGCCCAGGAGCCCCCCUUCCCCACCCACAAUCUUCCUGGGCUCCGUGAUCUCAUCCUGCUGGAAUGCUCUCCUCCAUGGAAGGGAGCAAUGAUACAGGAGCCUCAUCAGCUCCUGGACCUCAAGGGGGCCAUAACCACGCUGUUACUGUUUAUACAGUGUCUGGAAGAAGAAUGGUAAUUCUCUCAAUAUGGACCACCAGGGGCUGUGAGAAGAAGCUGGGAAGAAAGGCAGAGGCAGCCCUGCCACUGUCUCCGUCCACUCCGCAGGGGCUGCCUUGCUAUUUUCUGCUUUUCUGGAGUUGAUUUUUGUCAUUGGCUAAAUAGACGUUAAUCAGACCACUACCUUCCACGUACCACCCUGGAGCCUCCCCAUGGCAGGGGCUUCCUGACCGGGCUUUCUCCAACCAUCAUGUCCAGCCUGUAUGAGUGUGACAGAAGACAGAAGGGGUGAGCCCUUGGAGGCAGGUGGCACCCACUUGAUGUGUGUGAGGCAUUCAUCUGUGCAGCAGCUCCCCCUCCCCUUCCUGGGGACAACCACAGCAUCACCCUCAGGCCACAGGCACCUGGACCAGGUCUAGCCAAUCCAAGGUCCUGGGCAUCCAGCCAAAGGGCUUGGUACAGUUGGACAUGUGACCCAAGUUGGGCCAAUCAGGGUGCUUCCCUGAGUCUUUAUACAUGGAUGCUGAAAGAGAUGUUGUCUUUCCUCUGGGGUCACUAAACUGGGAUGAGAAAGCUGUGACCCUCCCCCUCUCCCUCACCUACACCAAACGCUGUGAGGAGUCCAGCCAAAAGAUGGAAAAGACACAGAGAAACAGAGACAAAGAGAGACGGAGAUGGAAAGAGAAAUAAUGCCUUUUCCAGCCCUUACUCAUAAAGGACAGUUGGCAUGGCGGCCACAGGUGUGCAGUGCGCGAACCAGCAUCUGGGGAGGACAGAGGGAGUAAGGCUGAGUUGGGAUCCUGGUUCUACAACUUGGCAGUGUGCCCUGGGUGAGUAACCAAACUUCAGUUUCUAUACCUGGAUGUGGGGAUGCCACCAAUAACCUUAAAUACCCAACUCAGAGCGUCACUAGGACGGUCCAGUGAGAGACUCAUGUAAAUGCCUAUCAGAGCGCAUGCCAAAGUGUGGGCACCUAUGAGUAUCGUCAUUACUGUUCCCUGAUGCGUGAGUGUUCUCAGGCUGCUGUGACAAAGUACACAGACUGCGUGGCUUUAAACCACAGAAGUGCGUUCUCUCUAAGUUCUGGACGCCAAAAGUCUGCAAUCAAAGGGUCAGCCGGGCUGGUCCCUUCUGGGGUCUGUGAUGGGGAAUGUCCCGUGCCCUCUCCUACCUUCUGGGGGUUGCCAGCCGUCUUUGAUGUUCUUGGCUUGCAACUGCGUCCCUCUACUCUCUGCUUCACUCUGUGCGUGGCCGUCUCUCUCCCUGUGUGUUUUCACAUGGCCUAAAUUUGGUCACUGGGUUAAAGAGGUGACAGCAGAGAGGCGACACACUUCUCUGUAUGUGUCACUGCGUGUCCUCUCUUUUUAUAAGAACACCAGUCAUGGGGAAUUCCCUGGUGGCUCAGUGGUUAGGACUUGGCGGUUUCACUGUCGCGGCCCCAGGGUCAGUCCCUGGUCAGGGAACUAAGAUCCCACAAGCCACGUGACACAGCAAAGAAAGAAACAAAGAAAGAAAGAACACCAGUCAUUGGGUUUAGGGCCCACAUCAAUUCAGUA